rnacentral:rRNA from 1 species
UACGUAGGGUGCAAGCGUUGUCCGGAAUUAUUGGGCGUAAAGAGCUCGUAGGCGGUUCGUCGCGUCGGCUGUGAAAUCCCGGAGCUCAACUCCGGGUCUGCAGUCGAUACGGGCGGACUCGAGUUCGGCAGGGGAGACUGGAAUCCUGGUGUAGCGGUGAAAUGCGCAGAUAUCAGGAGGAACACCGGUGGCGAAGGCGGGUCUCUGGGCCGAUACUGACGCUGAGGAGCGAAGCGUGGGGAGCG